UGUGAGUACAAGGUCUUCCUGAUCUACAUA
rnacentral:piRNA from 1 species